rnacentral:lncRNA from 1 species
AUGGGGGAAGAGCACAGGGAGGAGCCCCGGGGAGGAGCAGCGGGGAAGAGCAUGGGGGAGGAGCACAGGGAGGGGCACGGGGGAGGUGCACUAAGGAGGAACCCCGGGGAGGAGCACUCGGGAGGAGCACCCAGGAGGCGCCCCGGGGAGGAGCACAGGGAGGAGCACCGCGGGUGCCGGACAUGCGGGCGGCGGAGCCUCAGGCCGCAGGUCCGCCCGGGCUCCCGAGCUGGGAGGCAGGGAGCGUGCACCGGGAGGACCGUGCUGGGGGAGGCGACGUGGUUGGGGGCGCACCCCGGGUGCAGCCCUUGGUCUAGGGGAACUCCCAGGCGGCGCGGUCUGACCCAGGACGUGAGGCAGCGGAGCCUCCUGGCGGCCGAGCUCGGGUUUUCCGUGUCCGCCCCUGGAUUGGGCCAACAGAAGCAAGGCUCAGGCCCGCGUGUUGCGGGCGUCGUGCAAACGACCGUGGGGGACGCUGAGGAGCAAGGGGCGGCGGGGAGCACGGCACCCCUUCACUCCCUUCAGCGACACUCGGCUCCUCUGGGACGAGGGCAGGGGUCCCCGCCCCCGGGGCUCAGCGGCCAAUGCGUGGAGGAGGAAGCGAUGGCGCCAGGCCCCGGGCUCCGGGGGGCUGUCCACCCUCAGGCCAGGCUGCCCCCCCAUCCUGGGGCUCCCGGACGGUUCCACCUGCAGGCCAGGCUGUCCCCUCCAUCCUGGUGGAGCCGGGAGGGUGUCCACCCCCAGGCCAGGCUGCCCCCCCCCCCCGAUCCUGGGGCUCCGGGAGGGUGUCCACCCUCAGGCCAGAGUGCCCCCCCAUCCUGGGGCUCCCGGACGGUUCCACCUGCAGGCCAGGCUGUCCCCUCCAUCCUGGUGGAGCCGGAGGGUGUCCACCCCCAGGCCAGGCUGCCCCCCCAUCCUGGGGCUCCGGGAGGGUGUCCACCCCCAGGCCAGGCUGCCCCCCCAUCCUGGGGCUCCGGGAGGGUUCCAUCUGCAGGCCAGGCUGUCCCCCCCCAUCCUGGUGGAGCCGGGGCCGCUGGCAGAGGGGGGAGACGGCGGGAGGGACCCUGGGCUUUUGGGGGACCCGAGCCUGCACCUGGGAGCCACCCCCCCACCCUCCUGUUGACUUUUAAAAGCGGGAAAAGCAAGUGA